GUGGACCAUGGGUUGGCAGAGGUGAAGAGAUGGGUCUUGAGGCGGGACUGGAAGAUGGUGAGGGACACAGAGGUGCAGAUCAAUUGGGAGAGGGAGUUCCAGAGCCUGGGAGCUGCCCUGGAGAAGGCUCUGUCCCCAAAACUGCGGAGGUUGGACUUGUGGAUGGAGAGGAGACCGGCUGAGGUGGAUCUGACGGA